GACGAACGCUGGCGGCGUGCCUAAUACAUGCAAGUCGAGCGAGCGGCGGACGGGUGAGUAACACGUAAGGAACCUACCGAUAAGCGGGGGACAACAUCCGGAAACGGGUGCUAAUACCGCAUAAUUAACGAUGGCCUUGUGGUGCAUUAGCUGGGUGGUGGGGUAACGGCCUAACAGGGCACUGAUGCAUAGACGACCUGAGAGGGUAAUCGGCCACAUUGGGAUUGAGACACGGCCCACACUCCUACGGGAGGCAGCAGUAGGGACUCUGCCGCAAUGGGCGCAAGCCUGACGGAGCAACGCCGCGUGAGUGACGAAGGUUUUCGGGUUGUAAAGUACUUUCAGCGAGGAGGCGUUACUCGCAGAAGAAGCACCGGCUAACUCCGUGCCAGCAGCCGCGGUAAUUC
rnacentral:rRNA from 1 species